UACGUAGGGUGCGAGCGUUGUCCGGAAUUACUGGGCGUAAAGAGCUCGUAGGUGGUUUGUCGCGUUGUCCGUGAAAACUCACAGCUUAACUGUGGGCGUGCGGGCGAUACGGGCAGACUGGAGUACUGCAGGGGAGACUGGAAUUCCUGGUGUAGCGGUGGAAUGCGCAGAUAUCAGGAGGAACACCGGUGGCGAAGGCGGGUCUCUGGGCAGUAACUGACGCUGGAGGAGCGAAAGCAUGGGGAGCGAACAGG
rnacentral:rRNA from 1 species